GGGCUGUUACUUUUGGUGCAGUAAAGCGCACAGUUGCUCGUUUGAUUAUUUUGAUGGUCUCAAUGGGGUAUGGUGUUGUUAGACCUACCCUUGGUGGUCUUACAUCCAAGGUUCUUUUGCUUGGAGGAACUUUCUUUCUGGCAUCAGAAGUUCUUGAACUGGUAGAAAAUGUUGGUACUGUUAGUGAUUUCUCAGGAAAAGCAAGGCUGUUUUUUGUACUUCCUGUGGCAAUCUUGGAUGCUUUCUUUAUCCUCUGGAUAUUCACUUCCCUUUCUGCAACUUUGAAUAAACUUCAGGCUAGAAGAUUGUUGGCCAAGUUGGACAUAUACCGGAGGUUCACAAAUGCUCUAGCUGUUGCAGUUAUUGUUUCUGUUGGUUGGGUAUGCUAUGAGCUGUACUUCAAGUCC
rnacentral:misc_RNA from 1 species